AGUCCAUGAAUAAGUAAAUAGUCUCCCAGCUUGAUGCCAAAGCACAAACAUCGGAGGAGGCUUGGAGAGGCUGGUGUCUACGGGGGACAGGAGGCUGGUGCUGGCGGGGGGCGGGCAGGCAGCCCAGGCUGGUCCCGUCUGAUACACUAGGGCGCUGAUCCCCAGCAUCUUAUCGUUGGCUGCUUGGAAUUGCAGAUGCACCGUUACGUUAUCGCAUUUAAAUUUAGCUCUUGUUCUCCCUUUGGACGGGGAUGCAGUGUUUGAAUUAUUUCACCGUGAAGGGAAAGCAGUUAGAACACAGGGCCCUCCCUGUGACUUAUCGAAAUAGGAGGUCUGGCCGGCGAGUCUCCGAGGAGGCUGCAGCUGUGGCUCAGAGGAGAAGGCUCUUGAGAGCACCUUCAGCGUGGAGGACGUCGACGUUCCCUUCAACACACCUUGACGGUCAGUCGCCGAGGUCGCGGUUCGCCGAGGCCAGCACGUACAUAAAUCUGCCGUGACCGUUAUCUUCGAUAGGAUCGUAUCCAUUCUUUUAAACAGGGGCCAGGGCCCCUUUGUGUCGUGAAAACAUUAAAAUGUUUAUUCCUGGACCCAAGUUGGAGAAAUUAUGUCAUCAACAACACUUUCACGGAGGUCGUGAAUGUGUGGAAACAUCUUUAAAAUCAUUUUCCUUUGUCAGAUUUCAAGGGCAGGAGAUGAUCCUUGAAGCCACAUCUUAGAGAGGUGUAUCAAGUAAAAGGUUAAAGUCUCCUGUAUAACUUGCCCAUCCCUGGUCCCUAUCAGUAAUCACUAUUAACAGUUAGGUGUUUCCUUUCAGAAUUUUCAGACCCCUGCCCGUGCGUACACAAAUCUACAUGCAGACGUAAUGUCUUGAUAUAUAGUUAUCUGUGCAUGUACAAAAAUGGGAUGAAUAUAUUGAUGCCUGUGUCUGUGCAUACAUUUAUGCGUAUAUGUAUCCAAGUACCUACACAUACUGUUCUGUGACUUUUAAAAUUCAUUUUCCAUGACUCAGUCAGGAAAUUGAUAUAUUCAGUUUGUAAAAACUCAAGUGUCUUUGACUCACUCCCUUUCACCAAUCUCACCAGCGUCAUCAGUUUGGUUCUUCUGGACCUUUUUCCUACACAUUUGUGUGUGUGUGUGUGUGUGUGUGUGUGUGUGUGUGUGUGUCUAACAGCCUGACUUUGUACAUUAUAGGUGUUCAGUCAAUAUUUGCUGAUACCGGGGGUCAUUGACGCCGGGAGGAAAUGGACCCGCACCAGCCACUGGCACUUGGGCCACCCCAUCUGUUUGUUUACUCCACCUCUUAGAUAAGUUGUAUCAUUCCUGUCUCCUGGAGUUGGCUGGCUGUUUACUCAAUGCCCUGAGCUCAUGGAACAGACAUUCUAUCCAAGCCCUGAGGAGGGUCAGAGAGAGAGAAAUUUUGUCUUCUCUGCUUCUGUGGAGAAUUUUGUGACUGUCAGCCUGGGGAAGGCAUAGCCGAAAUCUGUCGGCCAGCCCAAUAUUUCCAGAGUGUUCUACAGAUUUCACAUAUGAGAGUGAAAGGAUACGGUGUUUGUCUUUCUCCAUUUGACUUAUUUCACUUAGCAUAACGCCCUCAAUGUCCAUCCAUGUCACAAAUGGCUGAGUUUUUUUGAUGGCUGAGUAGCAUUCCAUUGUGUAUAUGUACCACAUCUUUUUCAUCCGUUCAUCUGUUGAUGGAAACUUAGGUUGUUUUCAUACCUUGGCUAUUGUAAAUAAUGCUGCAAUGAACAUGGGGGUGCAUGCAUCUUUUUAGAUUCAUGUUUCCAUGUUUUUUGAAUAAAUACCCAAAAGUGGGAUAGCUGGGUCAUAUGAUAGUUCUAUUGUUAAUGUUUUGAGGAAUCUCCAUACUGUUUUCCCUAGUGGCUGCACCAAUUUACAUUUCCACCAACAGUGAACAAGGGUUCCCUUUUCUCCACAUCCUCUCCGACAUUUGUUAUUUCUGGUCUUUUUGAUGAUAGCCAUUACGACAGGUGUGAAACUGGACAGCCACAAACAAAAGAGUGAAAAUAGACCACUGUCUUUUCCUAUACAUAAAAAUUAACUCAAUGGAUUAAAGACUUGAAUGUAAGACCUGAAACCAUGGAACUCCUAGAAGAAAACACAGGUGGAACCCUGGCUAAUAUCAGUCUUAGCGAUGUUUUUGUGGACCUCACUCCACAGGCAAGGGCAACAAGAACCAAAAUAAACAACUGGGACUACGUCAAACUAAAAAGCCUCUGUGCAGUAAAGGAAACCAUCAUCAAACCCGAAAGGCAGCAUACCGAAUGGGAAAAUAUAUUUGCAAAUCAUAUAUGUAAUGAGAGUAAAUAUCCGAAAUGUGUAAAGAACUCAGGCAGCUCAAUAACAAAAAAAUCUGAUUAAAAAAUGGGCAGAGGACCUGAAUAGACAUUUUUCCAAAAAAGACAUACAGAUGGCCAACGGGCACGUGAAAAGAUGCUCAACAUCACUGAUCAUCAAGGAAAUGCAAGUCAAAACCACAAUGAGAUAAAAUUUCCUGUUUUCAGUAUCAUGAUGUCCAUAAGACACACAUGCUUGUUUAAGGAAAAAGGGGCAGUUAUUAGGUGGGACACAGAAAUGGCAAAACUUGUGAUAUUUGGGGAAAACAAGUUUCCUCCAACCUCAGAGAAUGCAGCCUUGUGAGCUGCAGGGGGUUCCUGGGCUCCAGGACCAAAGUGAAGACUACCGUUAGGCUGUACUUCCCGCAGGUUCCGGGGUCUCGCUUUUGGUUGGGACCUCAGGACAGACUGUCUCAGCGUAAUGUCAUUUGGGUGGAAAUGUCUAGUUAAAAUGGCUCUUAAUGUGAUUACUGUUCAUGACUAAGGCAAUUAUGUAUUUUAAAUUUCAUUUUGUUUGUUUCUUUUUUUUUUAAGCAGCCAAGCCAAAAUGGAAAGGGCUCUGUUGCUAUCGAAGUUCAGGGCCAAUUAUAGUCACAUGAUCGUUAGUGCUGUCCUGGGCCUGCAAGGGCAGUAAAAAUCAAGAGAGUGCAAAGGUGUCUGGCAAGGGCUUCAGAAACCGCUGUGAAACUCAGACUCUCCGCUACAGUAUACGGGUCUUGAUAGCGUCUGUUUCACUCUGCUCUCUUGGCAAACCCAGACCCUGGAAUGUAGCUGACGUGCUCCUUUUGUCCUGCAGGAAGAGAAAUGCGGCCCCUGGCCUGGCUGUACUCUCAGAAAGGCUUUUGGUGCCCGCGUUGCACUGUGCUAUUGUGUUUGUCAGGGCUCUUUAGCUUGCAAAUGACCGAAAACCAGCUCAAACUAGCUUAAGCACAAAGGGGAGUUAAUUGAAGAGAGUGUAGAUUCUGACUUCAGGAACGGCUUGAUCCAGGACCCCAAACUAUGUUUGGGGUUUCUGAGCCCGUUUCCUCUGUGUUGGCUUCGGUUUUAAUCAGAGUCCCUUAACCAUGCAUUUAGGGUUCACAGGCCUGGUGCUGUUUCCCCAUUGACUUGGCAUCUCUACAAUUAGGCUCAAAAAGGCAGCAGAACUUUGUAUUAUCAUUUCUUGGGCCCCAUACUUUUCACUCACGGAGAGGAUCCACCCAAAUUCUACCACCUUAAUGCUCUUGUUUCAGAGGACCCGUUUCCUGCAACCUUGUGGCCAGCAUCAAGAGUUUGCAAGUUCAGCUGAGGUCAUUUCCCAUAUGAGAGUGACCGUGCUCCCCAGGAGACUGGGGUAAACAAUGCACUCAUCCUUCACCAGGAGACCACCUUGUCCCCCCUGCAGAGGUGUGCUUGUGCUUUUGCAGCCCUCCCCAUCCAGCCAGGUCACCAGGCACGUUGCUCACCUGCCCGUGGCUAACAUGACUGUUCCACGGAGCACUAACAGGGGUCCCAGCCUCACCACGGGAUCCAGGUUCGUGGGCUCCCACGUGCUCGCCGUGGCUGUGUGGGGUGGUCCAGUCUGGAUCACUUAGAGAUCUGUUAUGGGUUGAAAUGUGUUCCCCCCCAAAUGCUAGAGGUCUGAGCCCCAGCACCUCAAAAUGUGGCUUUCUUGGAGAAGGGGUCUUUACAGAGGUAGUCAAGUCAAAAGGAGGUCAUUAGGGUGGGCCCUAAUCCAGCAGGACUGAUGUCCUUAUAAAAGGGGAAAUUUGGACACGGACAAUGCACGCAGGGAGAACACCAUGUGCAGCAGAACAGAGAUGGGGUGAUGCUUCUACAAGCCGAGGGAAGUGGCCAGUGGACCGCCAGGACCUGGGGGAGGGGCAGGGACAGACCCCCUAGCACGGCCUCAGGAGGGGCGCCUUGAUCUCAGACUUCCAGCUUCCAGAACCGUGAAACAUACGAGCCUGUUUUUUUAGCCACCCAGUUUGUGACGCUUUGUUACAGCAGCCCCGGCAAGCAGACACAAGGUCUUAGGAUGCAAACAGCACAACCUAAUUCUGGCAAUCUCCAAACCAGGCAUUUUCUAGAAGAAAUCAACAGGAAGGAGAGGACUUGGCUAUCUGGGGAGUGGGUAUUAAUGGCCGAUCCCUCAGAAUGACCCCCAGAGGAACGAAUCUGCUGCAGACACUGGUUUUGGUGUUUGGGUGUCUCUGCUCAAGAUUUAAAGUCAGGAGACUUCCUGAUCCGGGUCUCUUUCUCAUCCUGUGGCUGGAGGGGGCUGGACGCCAUGCUUGCCAUUCUCACCAGACCCGGUUCAAAGCGAAGCCGGGCGCUUUGGCUGGAAGAAACGUGAGCACAGCCUCCGCUGGCCUGUACGCCCUGUUGCUCUCCGGAUCCAGGAGCCUCUUUCUUUCUUCUUUCCUGCAUCGAAUCAUGGUGCCGGGGAGCGCACCCCAGGGAAACACGGCCGUGCUGUGGGCAGCUAUGAGUGGGGUCCUCCAUACUUCCACGAGCCUCCUGGGAUGAGGGUCCUGUCCCAUGUGGCCUUGUGUUGGCUCCCGAGUACAGAGGGCCACGGACAGCGUGCAGUCUGCAGGGCCGCGUCCUCACGGACACUCUCCAGUCAGCAUGCCCAGCCUUCAGGCGUCUUUGACCUGCUGCUGUCCAGCCAGGGUUUGUCCCCGUCACCAAUUAGUAACCAGGCAACAGAGCCUUUGCCACUGGCAGACGCUAUCAACAGAGAGUGGCCAGCUGCCCAGAGUAAAUGGAAGAGCUUUGGGUUCCGAGAGGAGAUUGAGAAGGGAACAUUAUCACAGGUGGAGCUUAAUUUUUAACCUGUGGCCAUGGACCAGGUCUGCUUCCCAUGACGACAUGGCUUUGUCAGAUUAAGGCUACAUAUGAGUCAGUCACUAUGGAAAGCAGUGGAUAUUCAGAUAAAAAUAUCCCAGGCUGUUAAUCCAGAACUGUGGCUUCUAAAAUCUCUACUUGAUUUAGUUCCCUGUUUGAUUAGGGCCAGUAACUCACAGGCAGAAGCUCCACUCUGUAAACUGGGCAGUUUUAGGUUUCUCUGAAUUUGAAGAGUCUGUCUCCCAAGGAACUAAGAAAUCAAUCGUGACGGGGCAGGUAAAGGGCAUCCUGAUUUCCGUCCCGGAAGACAUGAGGGAGGAAAAGUUCUCGAUAAUGAGCUGCAGCCAUCGGUUUUGUGAAGAAAUUAUCUUAUAGCCUCCACACUCCCUGACACCGUGUUUAUUUAUUUGCUUGUCUGCGGACUGUGUGACGCACUUCCAUAGCGACUUCAUGAGGGCAGGGAAUUUGCCUUAUUUUUUCAGGGUUCCAGCACCCAGCAUGUUUCCCUGACACACAGCAAGCGCAUAUAUUUGUUGAAUAAUUGAUUGAAUGAUUGAAUGAAUCAUGAAAUGACUGAAUGAAUACCAACAUGUUAGAAAAACGUAUUUUUUCCAGUUUUUCCAAUUUGGUGCCAUAAUUUGAAGGUAGUUUCUUACAGAGUAAUUUUUUUUUUUUAAACACAGAAACUUGAACAGCAAGAAAGGUGUUAAUUUCUGGCUUUUAGACAAAGACCUAUCGCUGAUCAAAGUCUGGGCUGGAGGUUCAAACUAACUUCGUCCCUUCCUUUCUUCCUUCCUUCCCUCCUUCCCUCCCUCCUUCCCCUCAAUCUUUUCUCCUUCCCUCCUUCCCCUCCCUUCUUCCCUCCCUCCCUCUCUUUCUAAAUGGGCUGUGUGCCGUGCAUUAUUAGCAAGAUCACUGUACAAUUGAAUAUGACUGAAAGAUCUCUUUUCCAUCCUUUUCAUGUGCAGUCUUACAUUUGCUUUCUGUUGCUGGAAUUUUGACUUCAAGGUUAUUUACAUUACAAGGCUAUAAAAAAAAUUUCCAUCUCAACGCUUUUGAAGAGGCAUUUUGCCUGAAUUUCUAUUUGAAAUUCCAUCAGCUGCCAGGAUGAUUGUUCAGAUGUGGCCCCGGAGCAUGAAAAGGCGCAAAGGCCCUGGGAGCGGGUAGCACCAGGUAGAAAGGAGGCGACACGGCCCGUUGGGGUGAUAGAGUGGGAAUCUUUCCCCACCUGCUGAACAAGCCCUAUACCAGGAAAGUUGAAGGAGGGAGAAAAAAACCUGAGAACGAAGAGGAACUGAUCUUCUUGUCUUUACCAAUAGGAGAGGGUGAGAAGAUUUUUGAGUCCUUGGUCAAUUUGCCCAGAAACCUGUCCUGCUUUGGGGAGACCACCCUACCCUCAUGAGAUCAGUUACUUGGGAAACUCCAUACCUGUUUUAGUUACAAUGUGUUUUGUUAAAAAUAAUAGAAAAUCUGUUCGAAUUCGCUUAAAUAAGAAAAGAUAUUUUAGGGCAAGUCCAGAUGUAAUUUAGACUCAGAUGAGGCUAGAUGUUUUAUCACAAAUAUAUCCAGCUCGUUUCUCUCUCUCCUUUGCCUUGAAGUUGCCUUUCAGGAGUUGCAAGGCCAUAGCUGGAAUGGGUUGAAUUUAGUCCCCACAAAAGAUGUGUUCCAAUCCUAACCCCUGUUACCUGUGAAUAUAACCUUAUUCGGAAAUAGAGUCCUGGCCGAUGUAAUAAAGAUGUAAGUUAAGAUGAGGUCAUACUGGAUUAGGGUGAGCCCUAAAUCCAGUGACUUGGUAUCUGUAUAAGAAGGCAGUGUGAAGACACAGGGAUACAGUAUCUUUCUCUAUUCAGAUGGUUAGUACAGAGAAGAUGGACUUCUGAGAUUCAAAUGUUGGUGUAUUAGUCACAGAUUUUUUUGUUUCAAGUUCAUGAAUAGUCAACUCAGUCUGGCUCAAGCAAACAGGAUAUUUAUUGAGAGAAGGACUUCAGGCAAGGAUGGAUCCAGGGGCUGAAGCAAUGUCAUCAGGAUUUAGUCUCUUUCCAUUUCCCAACCCACCUUCUUCCACACCAGCUUCACCUCAGCAGGCUCUUUCCACACAGUGGCCACCAGCAGCUCUAGGCUAACCUUCUCUUUUUCCUAGCUACCUAAGCAGGAAGAAAGGGAUCUGCUUCUUUCUGAUAGCUCAGCAGAAGUCCCAAGAUUGUCUCUGAUGGGACCAACUUGGCAGUCAACCUGAGACAUCAUCUUCUUCUUAACAACUAGUUUGCUGAGGCACUUUCUCCAGGUCUGGAUCAUGUGCCCACCCUGGCCUGGAUAAGAGAACGAUGAUUUCCCUGAGAGAACUUGGAAUGUUAGAACUAGGAGAAUGGGGAAUGGCUGCAGAGCAAACCAAAGCAGAUUCUUCGUAGAGAUAGGGACAUCAUGGGCCAGGGUGAUCAAGGAGGGCUUUCUGGAGGAGGAACACCAAAGGCCCUGGGAGAGAGGCUGGAUUCACAGAGGCAGAGGGAAAACUCAGUUCAUCAGACUUUAUCCAGUGCUUCUACGCUGCGUGCUGUGGGAGAUUUAGGAACGAGUAAGACAUGAACUAGCCACUCCAUGGAUCUGAUAUUGUGAGAAGAUAAUGUGGGUUCAUGAAAGUGAUAACCAGCCAGCCCAGGCAAAAGGUGAGAAGCAAACAUUCUGGAGCAUUAGACAAGGGAGUUGGAAACCUAUGGGUUUGGAAGAGAGAGAACUGUGUUCAUUAGUUUCACAAAUAUUUAUCUGGGAGAAUCACCACCCUCCUGAUUUUUGCCCUCUCUGCUUUAUAACUUUACUCUUACUUAUAAUAAUAUUAUAUUUCUUUAAAUUAAUAUACUGGGUAAAUCUAUUUGAAAAAACUUUUAUAUCCCUAGGCUAAGUGGAAAAUCCUUCUAGAAAUAGAAGCUAAAAGCAGUCAUAGACAAGGAAACAACACUGCUAUUCAAAUCCAGCUAGAUUCUGGGGACUCUACCUAAGUCUUCAGACUUGACUCCUGCUUGCACUUAUGCCGGAAGGGAGAUAACCAAGUAUCACAGAGGUAUAAAAAAAUACAUUUUAGUGCCAAGCGGAGCCUUUCUCAUUGAAAAAAAUUCUGAGAGAGAAUAUUAAAAGAGUUAUGAUUCUAUGGUUUAUAAAUCAAAGACUAAUGAAAUGCCUGACAGGUCUGUACCUGAAAACACCUUGGGUUCCAUGAAGGACCAUCCUAUGUGGGGUCUGGCGGAGCGGAAAGCAGUGGCAAGGAGAACAAAUCAAAGAUGAAAGGUCAAAGGUUAAAAAUUCAGAAAGUCACGGACCACGAUGUCCCCUGCAGCUCUGUUCACAACAGCCAGGACGCGGAAGCAACCUGAGGGUCCGUCGACAGAGGAAUGGAUAAAGAAGAUGCGGCACAUACAUACAAUGGAAUACUACUCAGCCAUAAAGAGGAACGAAAUUGAGUUAUUUGUAGUGAGGUGGAUGGACCUGGAGUCUGUCAUACAGAGUGAAGUAAGUCAGAAAGAGAAAAACAAAUACCCUAUGCUGACACAUAUAUAUGGAAUCUAAAAAAAAAAAAAAAGGUUAUGAUGACAGGAAUAAAGACGCAGACGUAGAGAAUGGACUUGAGGACAUGGGGAGGGGGAAGGGUAAGCUGUGACGAAGUGAGAGAGUGGCAUGGACGUAUAUACACUACCAAAUGUAAAUUAGAGAGCUAGUGGGAAGCAGCCGCAUAGCACAGGGAGAUCAGCUCCAUGCUCUGUGACCACCUAGAGGGGUGGGAUAGGGAGGGUGGGAGGGAGGGAGACGUAAGAGGGAGGGGAUACGGGGAUAUAUGUAUACGUAUAGCUGAUUCACUUUGUUAUACAGCAGAAACUAACACACCAUUGUAAAGCAGUUAUACUCCAAUAAAGAUGUUAAGAAAAGAAAAAAUCGGUCAAAGGUUAAUCUUUUCAGUAGAGUCAAUGUGGAAUUCUUUUUAUCCUCUCAUGGCAAUUAGGACAGUGGGGAAAUGGCCUGAGUAAGAAACUGGGCUCUUGGCUUCAAAGGGGGCGGUUUCCUCAUGUUCCAAAGCCAGGUGGGGAUGGAGGGUAAGCCUCCUGACGCCGCUCUUUCGGGGUGGUGGUCUGGCUCUUGUUUCAGCUGGAGGCUCAGUGAAGGAACACAGGGGAUCCU